CCCGGCCCCGGCGCCGCAGGUGCCUCCGGGGAGCUCGCAAUCCCCGGGUCAGCGCCGCCGCCCCGCGCGCCCGCACUCACCAUGGUGGCCGGGCCGUCGCCGCCCCCGCCCGGCGAGUGGCGAGAGCAGUGGACACGAGGGCGAGAGCCGAGCGCAGGAGCCGGCGCGGGUGACAGAUCUGUACUCUGUAGACACAGAAGAGGAGAGAGAAAGAGAUUUAGUUUUUAAAACAAAAAUUGGACUCCUACCAUAUGGACUGUUUCAUAUUCUACUGUUUUAUUUUUUUCAUAACAUGUUAUUGAACAAAUAUUAAUUGAGCAUCUAGUCUGUGCCAAGAACUGUGCUGGCUACUGGGCAUAGAACAGUGAAAAAGGAGACAUGGUCCCUCUCAAGUGAGAAGUCCUAAAAGCUGUGAUGCCCCAGAAGCAAUGAGCGCACCUAAAACUCCGAUCUUGUUUCUACUUACCACGAAAAGAACCAAAGCCUUUUGAAGAAAUGGCAGAUACCAGGGCUGACAUGGGGAAAGUGCCAGAAAAGCCCAGAAAGUCUUGUGCCAGAAAAUAAGGAAGUGUUCAAAGAAUGAUAGCAACAUGUCAAGAGGACAAGAGCCUGCUUGCAGGGGCUCCCGCUGGAAAAAUCUGAAAUAAUUUGAACAAAAAAAUAAAUAUUGAUGGUAAAGGAG
rnacentral:lncRNA from 1 species